UGGGAUGUAGCCAAGUGGUAAGGCAACGGACUUUGACUCCGUUAUGCGUAGGUUCGAACCCUACCGUCCCAG
rnacentral:tRNA from 1 species